GGAUGUGAGGGUGACCUGGCUGUGACAUGCCAUCGUCAUUGAUUGCCAGGGUUGAUUUGGCUGAUCUGGCUGGUUAGGGACGUGUCCCUUCCUCCCUCAUGGCUCCAUGUACAUCCCUCCCAAAUCUGUGUGCUUGGGGAAAGAGGAUGACCAUUCUUGAAAGAGAAGGACUGGUCUUAUAUACAAGUGAGGCUGGGAAGGUGGCUCGGUGGUAGAGCGCUUGCCUUGUAUGCCUGAGGCCCUGGAUUCUAUUUCUCAGCACCACAUAAGCAAAAAGAAAAAAGCCGGAAGUGGCGCUGUGGCUCAAGU
rnacentral:sRNA from 1 species